CAGCCGCCGCGGGAAUACGUAGGUGGCAAGCGUUGUCCGGAUUUAUUGGGCGUAAAGCGAGCGCAGGCGGUUUCUUAAGUCUGAUGUGAAAGCCCCCGGCUCAACCGGGGAGGGUCAUUGGAAACUGGGAAACUUGAGUGCAGAAGAGGAGAGUGGAAUUCCAUGUGUAGCGGUGAAAUGCGUAGAUAUAUGGAGGAACACCAGUGGCGAAGGCGGCUCUCUGGUCUGUAACUGACGCUGAGGCUCGAAAGCGUGGGGAGCAAACAGGAUUAGAUACCCGUGUAGUCCCUGUCUCUUAUAC
rnacentral:rRNA from 1 species